rnacentral:lncRNA from 1 species
CAAUGCGAAAGCCUUCCUGUUUAAGAAAAGUGUCUUAUACAACCCCUUGAAAGCUCGCAUUGCUGCAACCAUCUUAUCCAUGUUCCCAAAAUAAGUAGCCAUGUAAGAAUCACUGUUAAUAGACACAUAAUAAUCAAGUGCAGCUUUUGUAUUCCCAUGCAUGGUUGUGAAGUCCUCCCCACUAAGAAGACUACUGUUAAUAGACACAUAAUAAUCCAGUGCAGCUUUUGUAUUCCCAUGCAUGGUUGUGAAGUCCUCCCCACUAAGAAGACUAGAUUUAGUAACAACAUUGGUGUACAUCGAUGUCAGUCCCUCAAGUUC